AUACGGAGGGUGCAAGCGUUGUUCGGAAUCACUGGGCGUAAAGGGCGCGCAGGCGGUUUGGUAAGUCAGAUGUGAAAGCCCAUGGCUCAACCAUGGAAGUGCAUUUGAAACUGUCAGACUUGAGUACUAGAGGGGAAAGUGGAAAUCCCGGUGUAGAGGUGAAAUUCGUAGAUAUCGGGAGGAAUACCGGUGGCGAAGGCGACUUUCUGGCUAGAUACUGACGCUGAGGCGCGAAAGCGUGGGGAGCAAACAGGAUUAGAUACCCCAGUAGUCC
rnacentral:rRNA from 1 species